CCUACGGGAGGCUGCAGUGGGGAAUAUUGGACAAUGGGCGAAAGCCUGAUCCAGCCAUGCCGCGUGUGUGAAGAAGGCCUUCGGGUUGUAAAGCACUUUCAGUGGGGAAGAAAGCCUUGGGGCUAAUACCCUCGAGGAAGGACAUCACCCACAGAAGAAGCACCGGCUAACUCCGUGCCAGCAGCCGCGGUAAUACGGAGGGUGCGAGCGUUAAUCGGAAUUACGGGGCGUAAAGCGCGCGUAGGCGGUCUGAUAAGCCGGUUGUGAAAGCCCCGGGCUCAACCUGGGAACGGCAUCCGGAACUGUCAGGCUAGAGUGCAGGAGAGGAAGGUAGAAUUCCCGGUGUAGCGGUGAAAUGCGUAGAGAUCGGGAGGAAUACCAGUGGCGAAGGCGGCCUUCUGGACUGACACUGACGCUGAGGUGCGAAAGCGUGGGUAGCAAACAGGAUUAGAUACCCGUGUAGUC
rnacentral:rRNA from 1 species